CCUACGGGUGGCAGCAGUGGGGAAUAUUGCACAAUGGGGGAAACCCUGAUGCAGCAACGCCGCGUGAGCGAUGAAGUUUUUCGGUUUGUAAACCUCUAUCAGCAGGGAAGAAUAUGACGGUACCUGACUAAUAAGCCCCGGCUAACUACGUGCCAGCAGCCGCGGUAAUACGUAGGGGGCAAGCGUUAUCCGGAUUUACUGGGUGUAAAGGGUGCGUAGGCGGGGUUGUAAGUCAGAUGUGAAAGCCAGGGGCUUAACCCCGGGACUGCAUUUGAAACUGUUUGGCUGGAGUGUGGGAGAGGUAGGUGGAAUGCUUGGUGGAGGGGUGAAAUGCGUAGAUAUUAGGAGGAACACUAGUGGCGAAGGCGGCCUGCUGGAAGAUGACUGACGCUGAGGCUCGAAAGCGUGGGGAGCAAACAGGAUUAGAUACCCUAGUAGUC
rnacentral:rRNA from 1 species